rnacentral:misc_RNA from 1 species
CCCAAAAAACCCAUCCUCAAAGCCGCCACCACCACCAGAAAAACAGCGACGCACAUCGCAAAUUGGGUCCCACUUGACCUUAUCCAAUCGGAACUCUCUCUUCCCCUCACAUUCCCCACUGGCCAAACCUUCCGCUGGAAACAAACGGGUGCCUUCCAGUAUACCGGCACUCUCGGCCCUCACUUGAUAUCGCUCAAGCAUCAUCAUGAAAACGGCGACGUUUAUUACCACAUCCACCGAACCCCCUCAGAAUCCGCCGCCAAACUAGCUCUUCUCGAUUUCCUCAACAUUGAUAUCUCACUCACCGAUAUUUGGGCUGAGUUCUCGGCCUCGGACUCGAGGUUUGCGGAGCUAGCGCUACACUUGAAGGGGGCUAGGGUUUUGAGGCAGGACCCACUGGAGUGCUUGAUUCAAUUCCUGUGUUCUUCCAAUAAUAACAUUGCGAGAAUCACUAAAAUGGUGGAUUUUAUAUCUUCUUUGGGAGAAUAUCUGGGGAAUGUUGAGGGUUUUGAGUUUCACGAGUUCCCGUCUUUGGAACGAUUGGCUAUUGCCACUGAGCAGGAGCUUAGAGAGGCUGGGUUUGG